GAUGAACGCUGGCGGCGUGCUUAACACAUGCAAGUCGAACGAUUAAAGCCCCUUCGGGGGUGUAUAGAGUGGCGAACGGGUGAGUAACACGUGGGCAACCUGCCCUGCGCUUCGGGAUAACUCAGGGAAACCUGAGCUAAUACCGGAUACUCCUUGAUGAUCGCACGGUCCUCUCGGGAAAGUUCCGGCGGCGCAGGAUGGGCCCGCGGCCCAUUAGCUGGUUGGUGGGGUAAUGGCCUACCAAGGCAACGCUGGGUAGCCGGGCUGAGAGGCUGAUCGGCCACACUGGGACGGAGACACGGCCCAGACUCCUACGGGAGGCAGCAGUGGGGAAUUUUGCGCAAUGGGCGAAGGCCUGAUGCAGCAACGCCGCGUGCGGGAUGAAGGCCUUCGAGUUGUAAACCGCUUUCAGCAGGGAUGAAAAUGACAGUACCUGCAGAAGAAGCCCCGGCUAACUACGUGCCAGCAGCCGCCGUAA
rnacentral:rRNA from 1 species